rnacentral:rRNA from 1 species
UUGGAGGGCAAGUCUGGUGCCAGCAGCCGCGGUAAUUCCAGCUCCAAUAGCGUAUAUUAAAGUUGUUGCAGUUAAAAAGCUCGUAGUUGAAUUUCGGGGUCAGUAGGUUGGUCAUGCCACUGGUAUGUACUGGUCUCACUGAUUCCUCCUUCCUGAUGAGCUGUAAUGCCAUUAAUUUGGUGUUGCGGGGAAUCUGGACUGUUACUUUGAAAAAAUUAGAGUGUUUAAAGCAGGCUAACGCCUGAAUACAUUAGCAUGGAAUAAUGAAAUAGGACGUUCGAUCCUAUUUUGUUGGUUUCUAGGAUUGACGUAAUGAUUAAUAGGGAUAGUUGGGGGCAUUAGUAUUCAAUUGUCAGAGGUGAAAUUCUUGGAUUUAUUGAAGACUAACUACUGCGAAAGCAUUUGCCAGGGAUGUUUUCAUUAAUCAAGAACGAAAGUUAGGGGAUCGAAGACGAUCAGAUACCGUCGUAGUCUUAACCAUAAACUAUGCCGACUAGGGAUCGGAUGAUGUUAAUUUUUUAAUGACUCAUUCGGCGCCUUACGGGAAAC